rnacentral:sRNA from 1 species
ACCAAGGACGGUCAAGGUCAAACCUGGAGCAAGCAUUAUAGCACCAACAAAGACCAUGGCUAGCAGUCUUCUCAUGGAGAAGCCCUGGGGCUGCAUUCUGUGGGAGCGGUCGGAACGGGACUUGUGCCUGUUCCGGACCACACUGGCGUAGACCGCGGGGCGCAUGAUGAUGUGUACAAACUCCCUAGUUCUUUUCUACCAUCAUUUUCCUAAAGCGGAGUGAUAUCUGUGAAAGAAAAAGGUUAUAUUUGUUAGGAUAAUCAUGCACAUGAUUCCCGGUGCUUGCCUGCUUGGUUAAGAUGAUUUAUUAACUAGAAAGAAAAAUACAAGAUCUUGUGGGACUAAAACUAUUUACUACAACGACUUACUCCUGCAUUUGUUAUCUGCCGGAGCUCAUUGCGUCCAUUACCAGAGGCGAGUGAAAUCGACCCGGGCCAUUCCGGUGAUAAUGGGGGGAGUAGUCGACAGACCAAUGGUUAUUUAUCAAGGACAUGUUGGGAGUUACCUCACGGAAGUUUAUCGAUCCCGGAACAUCAACCAUGCGGGCCAAGUGAUUAAGUUGUGAUCAAAGCCAAUGCCACAUUUUUAAUAAAAUGCACUUGUGAAGC